CCCUAUACCAUCGGGGGGCCGGCCCUGGAGAUUGCGGCACCCAUCAGGGAAGCCCUCUCUCCUGCCCGCCCUGUCUGAAUCUACCCAUGAUUUUUGCGUACCCAUUGUUUCCUCGGCAGGCUUGCUUGCCAGUAGGACAUUUUUCAACCUUUUGUAAUUGCAGUCAGCGUCAGAAAAACUUAAUAGUUA
rnacentral:misc_RNA from 1 species